GGGAAAUCUGCCUCUCUGCAACAACCAACAAGUGGCAGCAAGAGGGAAGGACACACCACAAGAAGCACCUGGAAUAUUCCCUGCUAACCCUGCACCAACACCACUGAGGGAAAGAAGCUGAUCAAAGAUGACAACACAGCUGCUGUCCCUGUCCAAGGCGAAGAAGGGUGCUGCAGGCGAGUGACAUUGGACAGAAGCGAGUAUCUACUUCAGGUUAUACAAUUGUAUUCCUUCUGGAGUGGAGGGAGCCACUCUUAUCUGUCUCACGUACUACUGUCAGGAUAAAAUGAACAGUUAUUUUAAAUAAAUCUUACUGACCGUAGCUUUAACAUUACUUGCUUUUCUGUCUUCAUUCUGGUCAUGGAUCUGCCUGUUAUCUGUGCCAUGAGUUUUCCAUGUUUUUUCUUUUCUUGCAUCUAUUUUGCACCCUUCCACUAAUACCAGUUCUAUGCUGCUGAUGUUUCAUUUAUUCAAAGUUAACUAAAUUGAAACCAUUUUGACAAUAAAGCGGGUGCAAUAAAGCAAAACUCUGCUUGAAUGUGCAGGUUUUAUUAGUUGUUAAAGACUUUCUGUUCUGCAGAGAGGAAUCUUCAUUCAACAAAAACAAGCAAAGGAGAAGCAUAGCGAGUUAGCGAUUACUCUUUGUGUGUCCCUUUUUUUGUAACAAGCAGUUUGAAAGUUAUGGAAUCGGAUCAGGCUAAAAAUUUGGAUUCAAGUACAUAUUUUGUGCUAAAACAAAAAAAAGAAGGAAAGGAUUACAAAAAGCCUAGGAUACCACUAGGGCUGAACAAUUAAUUGCAUUUGCGAUAUUAUCGCAAUGUAAUAAAACGAGAUUUCCUAAUCGCAAAGGCUGCAAUUACUCUCUGGUCACAUGACAUGCAAAGCAGUCUGCAGACGUAGCAUCUACUUCGCACAUUACGCUGUACCUUGUCUUCUUUUUGGCCUUAAGCUUGACAGAAGCUGACACUACAGAAUCUUUAGUGUCACACAUGGAAUGAAAGUAGCACCCGCGGGUAACUUGGUGGUGGGUGAAAUCGUCGGGCCAUCCGCCGCUUUGACAGACAGGAAAAAUGCAUAACAGAAAGUCACGUGUAGAAAGGUAAGCGUAUUGUGGUGAUCGGCGCCUGCAUCACACACACAGCUACCAGUCAGCUCAGGAAAUAUCUGUGAAAAUCGUUAAGCCCUAGAUACCACACACAGUAGGGCUGGGCUGAUAGACGAUUUAAUCAGCACAAAUAUUAUUAUUAUACAUUUUAAAUAUGCUUUGCACCUUCCUCGGAAUUCUCUUCUCCCCACACACAGACACACAAGAAGCCUAGACCUCAGGUAAACACACCGGCUUGCCCCGCCUCUCUCUGUCUGGAGUUUAUGCUCAGCGCAUGCGCUGCAUUUUCCCCAAAAGAAUGCACGUUGAUUGUGUCAGGAUAUAAAAAGUGUAAAGAAACAUUAAUGGCCAAAUCCAACACUGUGGUGGCCAACAAAUCCAGGGAGGCUUGUAGGCAGUGUAAAUUUGUAAUUCAGUGUUCCGGUUGUAGUUCUCUAUUUCUUAUUGUAUAUACUCUUUUAGGUACAACUACAUAUUAGGUAUAUUGUAAUAAAUAAAAAAUUGGGCCAGGGGAGAGGGGUAAUAAUCCGAGAAAAAACACAGA